UACCGAAGACUAUCAAACUCCGAAUGCCGUCAUCUUAUACUUGGGAGUCAGACUGUGGGGGAUAAGAUUCAUAGUCGAAAGGGCAACAGCCCAGAUCGUCAGCUAAGGUCCCUAAAUGUAAGUUAAGUGGUAAAGGAUGUGGGAUUGCACAGACAACCAGGAUGUUGGCUUAGAAGCAGCCACUCAUUCAAAGAGUGCGUAAUAGCUCACUGGUCGAGUGAUCCUGCGCCGAAGAUUUCCGGGGCUAAAACUUACUACCGAAGCUACGGCAUCAGUAAUGAUGGGUAGGGGAGCUUCCCAUACGGGUUGAAGCAUGACCGUAAGGACAUGUGGACAGUAUGGGAGUGAGAAUGUUGGCAUGAGUAGCGAGAUGUGGGUGAGAAUCCCACAGGCCGUAAACCCAAGGUUUCCAGGGGAAGGUUCGUCCGCCCUGGGUUAGUCGGGACCUAAGCUGAGGCCGAAAGGCGUAGGUGAUGGACAACAGGUUGAUAUUCCUGUACUA
rnacentral:rRNA from 1 species